rnacentral:rRNA from 1 species
CCAAAAGCGUAUAUUAAAGUUGUUGCAGUUAAAAAGCUCGUAGUUGAAUUUCGGGAUCAAUACGUCGGUCGUGCUUUCUGGUACGUACUGGCGUCAUUGGUUUCUCCCUUCUGACGAACCAUGAUAUCAUUAAUUUGGUGCUAUGGGGAGUUAGGACUGUUACUUUGAAAAAAUUAGAGUGUUUAAAGCAGGCAUUCGCUUGAAUACAUUAGCAUGGAAUAAUGAAAUAGGCCGUUCGACCCUAUUUUGUUGGUUUCUAGGAUCAACGUAAUGAUUAAUAGGGAUAGUUGGGGGCAUUAGUAUUCAAUUGUCAGAGGUGAAAUUCUUGGAUUUAUUGAAGACUAACUACUGCGAAAGCAUUUGCCAAGGAUGUUUUCAUUAAUCAAGAACGAAAGUUAGGGGAUCGAAGACGAUCAGAUACCGUCGUAGUCUUAACCAUAAACUAUGCCGACUAGGGAUCGGAUGAUGUUAAUUUUAUAAUGACUCAUUCGGCGCCUUACG